GAUGAACGCUGGCGGCGUGCCUAAUACAUGCAAGUAGAACGCUGAGGGAGGAGCUUGCUCUUCUGGAUGAGUUGCGAACGGGUGAGUAACGCGUGGGUAACCUGCCUGGUAGCGGGGGAUAACUAUUGGAAACGAUGGCUAAUACCGCAUGACAACAGUUGUUGCAUGGUAACUGUUGAAAAGGGGCAACUGCUCCACUACCAGAUGGACCUGCGUUGUAUUAGCUAGUUGGUGAGGUAUCGGCUCACCAAGGCGACGAUACAUAGCCGACCUGAGAGGGGGAGCGGCCACACUGGGACGGAGACACGGCCCAGACGCCCAAGGGAGGCAGCAGUAGGGAAUCUUCGGCAAUGGACGGAAGUCUGACCGAGCAACGCCGCGGGAGUGAAGAAGGGUGUCGGAUCGUAAAGCUCGGUUGUAAGGGAAGAAAGAGUGUGAGAGUGGAAAGUUCACACUGUGACGGUAGCUGAUCAGAAAGGGACGGCUAACUACGUG
rnacentral:rRNA from 1 species